rnacentral:rRNA from 1 species
GAUGAACGCUGGCGGCGUGCCUAAUACAUGCAAGUCGAGCGAAUGGAUUAAGAGCUUGCUCUUAUGAAGUUAGCGGCGGACGGGUGAGUAACACGUGGGUAACCUGCCCAUAAGACUGGGAUAACUCCGGGAAACCGGGGCUAAUACCGGAUAACAUUUUGAACCGCAUGGUUCGAAAUUGAAAGGCGGCUUCGGCUGUCACUUAUGGAUGGACCCGCGUCGCAUUAGCUAGUUGGUGAGGUAACGGCUCACCAAGGCAACGAUGCGUAGCCGACCUGAGAGGGUGAUCGGCCCCACUGGGACUGAGACACGGCCCAGACUCCUACGGGAGGCAGCAGUAGGGAAUCUUCCGCAAUGGACGAAAGUCUGACGGAGCAACGCCGCGUGAGUGAUGAAGGCUUUCGGGUCGUAAAACUCUGUUGUUAGGGAAGAACAAGUGCUAGUUGAAUAAGCUGGCACCUUGACGGUACCUAACCAGAAAGCCACGGCUAACUACGUGCCAGCAGCCGCCUGUAA